GGGAGUGGUUCGGCGGUCGCCCCCGUUGCUGCGGGGGAGGAAAGUCCGGACUCCUGCAGGAAGGGCGACUCCUAACGGGAGCGGCCCGCAAGGGCUGGAAAGUGCCACAGAAACGACACCGUCUGCGCCGCCAGCGCGGACAAGGGUGAAAUGGCGAGGCAAGAGCUCACCGCCUGCCUGGCAACAGGCAGGGCAGGGCAAACCCCGCCCGGAGCAAGGUCACGCAGGGCCUGUGAGAUUCCUGCCUCAAAGGGCCCGGGUAGACCGCACGAGCGCAGGAGCGAUUCUGCGCCCAGAUGAAUGACCGCCCACGACAGAAUCCGGCUUAUGGACCGCUCCCGGAC
rnacentral:RNase_P_RNA from 1 species